CAGUGACACAAAGUGUUUCUGCAAAUAUCCUCUAACAUACUUCCUAGUACUUUCAGAGGACUUCUCUAGGGGAUGUGCUUAGAAACAUGCUGUUGCCAGGCAUGGUGGCCCACAUCUUUGAUCCCAGCACUAGGGAGGCAGAGGCAGGCAAAUCUCUAUGUGUUUGAGGCCAGUGUAGUAUACAUAGUGAGUUAUGGACCAGGUAGUACUAUAUAGAUAGAACCUGUCUCAACCGACCAACCAACCAACCAACCAACCAACCAACCAACCAACCAACUGACCAACUGAACAACCAACUGAACAACCAACUGACCAACCAACCAUCCAACCAACCAACCAGAGUUGUGAGUUUGUGCUGGUGAGGCCAGAAGAGGACAUGGAUCUCCUACAGAAGGAAUGACUGGCAGUUGUGAGCCUUCCAAUAUGGGUGCUGAGGACUAAAUUAUGGUCCUCCAUAGCAACAGUAUGCCGUGUUGAUUACUGUUCCAUUUCUCCAUCCUCAUACUUUAGCUACCAUGCUACUCUGGGCUUCCUUGAUGUCCACUGCUUUAGAUUCCAGACCUAAGUGAGGUGUCACAGUGCUUGUCCUUCUGUGCUUGCUGUAGCUCUUUGAAUGUAAUGUCUUCUAUGAGCUAGCUUUGGUUGGAAUGUUUGGAGGAGCUCCUGUUGUUUCAGUAACAACUGUACUGAUGCACAUUCUUACCAACAGCCUGCCAAGCAUCCCCUCCUCAGCACCUCCAGUAGCUCUUUUACCAGUCCUUUUUUGAUAACAGCCCUUUUGACAGGUGUGGGGUCUAACUGUGGUUUCAAAUGACCGAACUCAACUUUCUUAGUUUCUAAGCAUCACUCUACUCACAUGUAAAGAGAUGCAGCAAAGUGAGAUUUAAAGAGCUUCUUACCUUUCCUCUUGAGGUCUUGUGGGGCAGGAGUCUGGGUUUUUACAGAGGCCAUGUUGUUGCAGCUUUGGAACCUUCAUUGUUUCAGGAUCACCACCAAACAUCUGUGCUCCUCACAACAUCCACAAUCAGGGUUUCCCCCUCUCCAAGUGUGAUUAGGAGCAGUGCUAAUUCUAAGUAUGAUUAGGAGCAGCACUAGGUCCUAAGUACAAAGUAGCCUCAAAACUUGUAGCUUGCUGAGGACUAAUAUAAAAUGCAUAAAUGAAUAACUGCAUUUAUUCUUUAGUACUAAUUGAGGCAAAAAUAGAAUUCGAAUCCCCCAGGUCCCAAACAGAAUCCUUUCAGCGACUGGGAGGCAUCAACAGUCUCCCCUGCCUUGAGUUUAAUGUGUGACAUACACUGGAGAGAAGGAGAUGACCCUGAACUCUUUCUUCUUCUGAUGUGGUUUGGGGUAUAACUGUGCUAGAGGAAGGGUGUUCUUUUUACACAUUUUGUAGCUGCUGUGCUGGCUGGUAGCACUGGCAGAUGUAAGAUAUCCCCUAGCACCCUCCUUUCCAUACCCAGAUGCUACCAACAAGGCCCAUGUCUGCUAGUCAAACAUAUCCCAGUUUAGCUUUGCUGAGCUUUCCAGAGCCUUCUAAGUCAUAACAAGUUUCAGCUAAACUCUGACAACAGAUCAAUUUUCCCCAGUCUACUUGAUGGAGAAAGCAUCUUGCAAAACCCCUACUGAAGACACUGCAGGGAUAGGUGACUGCAGUCUAGCAAAGUAAAGCUCUAGGGAUGUUGUACAUUCAUUGUAUCAAGGAUCUGGAAAGAAGGUUCUCAGCAGAUCACAGGUAGUUAAGUAGCCAAGUUACCAUGGUGAUCCCUAAAGCAGGGAGACAAGGGACAAGCAAAUACUAAUGAGCCAGCCACCCAGGAUCAAGCUGAACCUUCAAGCUCCACCUUCUCUUCACCUGGAGUCAGCUGCAUCUUUAUUAUCCCACCGGCCCUCUGCAAGGAGAGGGAAUGACUUUAGCUUGGGACGAAGACAAUCAUCACUAAGAAUGAAGAACUUUCUAGAGCAGCUAAGACGACGACUGUAUCAGUUUCUGAAUAUAUGUGUCCUUCCCUUGUGCUCAGCAGCAUAUUCAAGCCAAAAGCUCCUACUACUUUGGGACAGAAAGACUAAUGCACUUACCAGCAAAGAGCUCCAAGUAUUGCCUUAUUUGCUGUGCUUAUAUACCAUCUCAGAGGCUUGGUUCUUUUCAUCCACAAAAUAGGAAUAAUAAUUAACGCAAACUUAUGAAAGCUUGGUGAAAAAUUAAAUUAGAGAAUGAAUAUAAGGAUACUCUUCAAACAAAGCAUUUAUUCUGUAGUAGUUUUCAUGUAUAAGAUAUGCUUUCUCACGUUUCAGACUUUCUAAAAUAAAUGUGUAUCUUGCUAUCUA